AAGUGAGUUUCUUAUACUGAUGUUUUUUGCCCAUGGCUAGAAGUGCCUUGAUUGGUUCAAAGCAACUGGUUAGUCAGUGCCAUAUAUCAGCUUGAUUGCCGAUCCGCUUGGCUGCAGCAUCUAAUGUGGCACCCAUUUGGUUGUGUCGUCAUGAAAUUAUCUGCAGGCUUUUGAACAGGCUGUGGCCCAUGCAUAGAUUGUUGUUCCAUUUCUUUGUCUGUGAGUUAAGGGAUUGUAGUUGACAAGUGGUUUGCAGUUUCCACAAAUCAUGAGCUCAACCACUUCACGAUGAAUUAUUAGCUUUUUUAUCAACCAAUUGUGCACCAUGGAGAAUACCAAAUCGGUUAGUGCACUGCUUUCUUAGGAUUUGACUAACACAUGUUGAGUAUUUACAAGCAGCCAAAUAUUGCCAAAGCCACCAAGGUCAAGCUUGAGUUCUUGCCACAUCAAAUUGGAGUUUUUGGCACAGGAAAUGAUCAUUAUCAGCUUGAGAACCUCAAUGCCCACAAUGAAGCCUCACCAUGGAAGAAUAUGGAAAACAGUCGAGAACUAGAACAGCAAGUGGCAUGAUGUUGACUUCGCCAAUAAAACUUCAAUGAAACAAUAUAGCUUCUUGAGAUGUUCAAUUGAAAUUCCAAAGUGUGUAUCAGAGUACUUUUGCAGGAAAUAGGCAUACUCGGGACUUCUGGAUGGUUGAUCCCCUAUAACAGCUUCUUAUGUAAAUGCUGCUUGAGGAUUUCAUGCCCUUCCAUAAGAUUGUCAUGGCAUUUGCUCAAAGCUAAAAUUUUAUACGCGUUACGUUU